AAUAGAUACCCUGGUAGUCCACCCGUAACGUUGGGAACUAGUUGUGGGGUCCUUUCCACGGAUUCCGUGACGCAGCUAACGCAUUAAGUUCCCCGCCUGGGGAGUACGGCCGCAAGGCUAAAACUCAAAGGAAUUGACGGGGACCCGCACAAGCGGCGGAGCAUGCGGAUUAAUUCGAUGCAACGCGAAGAACCUUACCAAGGCUUGACAUACACCAGAACACCCUAGAAAUAGGGGACUCUUUGGACACUGGUGAACAGGUGGUGCAUGGUUGUCGUCAGCUCGUGUCGUGAGAUGUUGGGUUAAGUCCCGCAACGAGCGCAACCCUCGUUCUAUGUUGCCAGCACGUAAUGGUGGGAACUCAUGGGAUACUGCCGGGGUCAACUCGGAGGAAGGUGGGGAUGACGUCAAAUCAUCAUGCCCCUUAUGUCUUGGGCUUCACGCAUGCUACAAUGGCCGGUACAAGGGCUGCAAUACCGUGAGGUGGAGCGAAUCCCAAAAGCCGGUCCCAGUUCGGAUUGAGGUCUGCAACUCGACCUCA
rnacentral:rRNA from 1 species